rnacentral:lncRNA from 10 species
AACAAGCUCAAAGUUAGCUCAAAUGGCUCUUUGGGAAUUUCAAGGUCAGGUUUUGCUUUUUGUGCUCCCAGAAAACAACCACCUCUGAAUGUGAAUAAAACAGAUGCUGGAUUCUCCAAAGAUUCCUGGGCAAUAGCCAAUGGUCUUGGUUUUUGGCCCAGCAAAUAGAAAAUGGACAAUUUCUUUAUUCCAAGGAAAAGAACUAUGGAGAUGGUCCACUCAGCAUCAACUGGUAGUGCCAAAGUAAAAAGUUAAGAAAUCCCUCCAAGCAUUGUUAAGGAAGGAAAUAUAAAUCCACAGAACUCAAGUAACCAUUUGCAGUCAAGAUUCUGAUGCCAUAGGCUCCUGGAUGGAAGGGACUUGCCUUGUCUCAGAUAAGACUUUGGACUUGGACUUCUGACUUAAUGUUGAAAUGAGUUAGGACUUUGGAGGACUGUUGGGAAUGCAUGAUUUUGUUUUGAAAUGUUUGGAUAUGAGAUUUGGGAGGGGCCACGGGUGGAAUUACAUGGUUUGGCCAUGCACCCACCCAAAUCUCAUCUUGCAUUUUAGUUCCCAUAAUCUCCACAUGUCGUGGGAGGGAUCUGGUGGCAAGUGACUGGACUGUGGAGGCAAUUUCCCCCAUGCUGUUCUCAUGAUACUCAGUGACUUCUCAUGAGAUCUAAUGGUUUUAGAAGGGGCUUUUCCCCCUUUUCCUCAGCACUUCUCCUUGCUGCUGCCAUGUGAGGAAGGACAUGUUUGAUUCCCCUUCUGCUAUAAUUGUAAGUUUCCUGAGGGCUCCCCAGCCAUGUGGAACUGUGAGUCAAUUAAACCUCUUUUCUG